GUCAUCCAUGGAUUGUGAUUUU
rnacentral:miRNA from 1 species